AAGGAGCCCAGUACCUGGCGUGCUCUACAUGGCUGAGGGUCUUAAAUGUCCUAUUCCUUGAAGUACAGAAAAGAAUCUAUGUUGGAGACAUGAGAAAACCAAAAAACUCUCUAUAUGUAGAGAAAGUAAAGUGUGCCCCAAAGUACAAAGAGUAUAGAAGAAAGGGAAGAGGAGACAUGAGGACGCUGUUCAUAGAUGGGAAGCUUGCUCUGGGGCUAAGAUCUCAGCAAAGAACUUGGCAACAACAGCACUAGCAGCUGUCACGGAGAAAAACUGAUGAACAAUACGUAUGCACAGGAACAAAUGGUCCUCUUUCCUACAGAAUCGCAGAUGCUGGCUAGCCAACGCCAGCACGGAGCUCUCCUUGGCGUCUGGAACUGUCUUAUCAGUUCUCAAAAUCUCAAGGUCUGUCAAUGAUUGCCAGAUCCUGGUACCAGCAUCAGUGACUCCACCUGGAGGUCCACAGGCCCUCUCCACUUAACUCUAGAGAGUGCCAUUGGCUUCUCUGAUGGCAGAUAUUGCUUUCCAUACCUUGAUGUAUGUCUUGAGACACUGAGGUCUUUUCAGUUCUCUACAUACGUGAGCAGGCUGUCCAGUUCUACCAUAUAAAUGAUUUAUUCCUGUUUCUCUCUUGAGAAACCAGAGAUAGAAAGACUAAUUCUGUUCACAUAUUCACUUCAAAAUGUUAUCAAAGUUUAGAAUCCCACCAAAUUUCAUACAAAGAUCUCUUUCUGUUCCUACGACAUCCACACAUAAAAUCAAAUCAAUUUUCGUACAAUUAUGUUUCUUGAACUAUCAAUUUUUUAAUUCCUCACAUCACAUAGAACGAAGAUUGAUCAGGAUUUUUCAAACUCUACAAGCACAGAAACAUAUGAAGUCUGUGAUCACAAAAUGAACCUUGAGUUCAGACCCUCAUAUUACCUCUAUGUAUUUUCACAUUUUUAUGCUUAACCCUAUGACUGAGCAUACACCAACCCUGGCAACUCUUCAAAGGCUCUAAGUGAGGGUAGCAAAAACCAUGUGUGCCAAUUAGGCCAAACCACAAACCUGACUAAGAUCAGGUUCUACAAAUCUGUGUGUAUUAUAGCGAGCUUUACCAGCCUUCUGAUUUUGACAAAAAAACUCCACCAUGUAAACAUUACUUUUCCACUUUUAUAUAAUUACUUAUGAGAUUCUUCUUUGCUUAAGAAAAUGUGUGUGCUCCUGUCCAAGAAGUCUGUCAUAUUUUUGUUUUGCUGGAGGAAUCUCUUAAAAAUCUCAGGAGGCUAUGAGCCUAAAGGUCACUAAGCAUUUACCAUGUGAAUGUUGGUUAUUAUUAACUUAUUAUAUUAAGUUUAUAUAAUACAUGCAGUCACUUUGUGCAUCUGUGAGCUCCCUAGCUGUCUUAGUUAGGGUUUCCUUUGCUGUAAAGAGACACCAUGAAUAAAGCAACUCUUAUAAAAGACAACAUUUAAUUGGGGCUCGAUUACAGGUUUAAAGCAUUCAGUCGAUUAUCAUCGUGACUGGAAGCAUGUAGUGUCCAGGCUGGCAUGGUACUGGAGGAGCUGAGAGUUCUUUUUCUUGUUCCAAAGGCAAAUAGAAGACUGGCUUUAGCGGGCAGCUAGGAGGAUGAUCUCUAAGCCCACCCUCCCAGUGAAAAACUUACUCUAACAGGCCAUACCUAUGUCAACAAGGCCACAGCUUCUAAGAGUACCAGACCUAUGUCAAACAUCAUCAAACUAUGACAUUCCACUCCCUGGGUAACAUAUACUUGUUCAAACAUAUGAAUUUAUGCAGACCAUACCUAGCCAUAGCAUAAUGCAAUAUAUAAUUAGUCCAACUUUAAAAGUAUCAUAAGUCUAUCCCAGUCUCAAAAAUGUUAAAAGUCCAAAUUUCAAAGUCUCUUCUGAGAUUCAUCCAAUUACUUAACUGUAAUGACUUAUAAACUCAAACUCAAAGCAGGGCACGUACCACCACCACUACAGGAUAAACAUUACAAUUCCAAAACGUGAGGAAAUAAUGGACCAAGAAAAGCCAACUGGGCAAACUCUAAACUCAGCAUUCCUGUGUCUGAUGUUAAAGCUCUCCAGCUUUUUCAUCUUUGUUUACUCCAACACAAUUCUUUCUCUUUGACUGGUUCCACUCUGCUGCAACUAGGCAUCUUCAAUAGCCUCUCAUCAGGUCCCUUCAUGGUGCCAAGCCUCAACUUCUUUGCAAGACCCCUUCAGUCCAGUAACAUCAACUACAACUGAGGUUGCAACUUUAUCAGUGGCCUCUCCUUGGCCUCUCACAGUGCCAAGUCUCAGUUGUUCUCCAUGAUCCCUUCAUGCCUUCAAAAUCAGUACCACCUGGAUGAUCCUUACACAUUACCAAGUUCAGCUGCAACACGAGGUACAGCUAUGGUUAUCUCUGGUACACAACUUCUCUAUGUUCUCAGAAAACACUUCCCAGAAGAUUUCACCUCAGUGAUGCUGGUCUCUUCUUAAUAGUUGCUAAUUUCUAAGCUCCAGCUAACCAGCAUCAAUUGUCCCAGUAGCCCCUUCUAUUCUUGACUCUAAAGCCAGGGAUGCAUGUCCAGAGCUUCCAAGUUCUGCUUCUUGCUGGGGCUGAAACAAGACCCCCUUCUUCUAUUACAUUAUCACCAACUUUCUGUUUUCCAACUUCUUCACUGCCUAGGCUUGGCUGUUGUGAAACUUCUUCGGUAAGCAGACCUUGAACUUAGAGACCUGCUCUAUCUCCUGAAUGCUGGGAUUAAAGGCAUGUGUCACCAUGCUUAGAUCUAAGCUUUUCUGUGCUUGAAACUUGCUCUGUUGCUGGCUGUCCUUGAACUUAGAGAUCUGCUGGCCUCGGUCUCCUGGGAUUAAAGGUGUAUACUACCAUGCCAGGACCUAAACUAAUCCUCAAGAUCUGGAUCAAAAGCCUGUGUUUCUGGAUUUUAAUUUAUUCCAGAUUAAAAGUCCAAAUGAAAACAAUAAGUAAUAAUAAUGCCUGAGAUAUAAUUAUUCCUUGUUCAAUGAUAAAUAUAAAUACAUAAACAAUAAGCUUAGUUGGGCAGGAUCUUGCUUCAAAAUCACUACUCCCUUAAUCUGUUUAUCUUGUGAACACAGGAUUUAGCUCCACUACCUGGUGCCCUUUCAUUACUUGAACGAUACAUUUUGUAUUUUUCCUCUCUAAGCUUGCUAUGCUUGAUCAAAGUACUUUCCAUGAGAGCAAAACAGAGGACAAAGUUUAUGCUGGGCUUUUCUGAGUCUUCCUUGUCAAUGCAAUUAAUCUCUUCAUCUUAGCCUUGGGCUGACUCUUCAGAUAAGGGCACAAAGCAGCUAUGUUCACCAAAAAAUCAUGACAACAAUUGCCAGAGUUCAACUCACCCUCAGUACCAAUGUCUUCCAUAUUCCUACUAGGAUGGCAUAUUAAGUCUCACUUAAAGCAUUCCAUAGUGUAAUAUUGUUUUCAAAGGAAUGGAAAGUGAACCUUAAAAAAAUAACUAGUCAUAUAAAACACAUUUAAGGUGAAAUUUUUAUUUGUGAAUGGCACCAAAUAAUGCUCACUAUAAUAAGCUGAGUUGGAACUUCGGUCUGGGUGUCCUCACUCCUCUAGGGUUAUUUACUUUGCCAAGUGAACAUUGAACACUGGAAGUACUGGGACUUCAAGGGUUAAAUUCCAGGGCAUUAUUGUUUGCACUUAGUCAGGUGAAUCUGCUUUACUAAGCCUCCCCAGUGGGGGUGGAGGGGAAAUGAACAUACAACUGAAUAAAAUAAAAUAAAAUAAAACAUUGGAUCAAAUGACAGAUAACCCAUGUGCCGGGUAGCUUGGUCUUCACCUGUUAAUUGUGCCAAACGCACUGAAGCUCAACUCCAAAAGCAAAAUUGUACAUUCUGCUAAAGGGUAGCCAGGCUGCUCAGGA
rnacentral:lncRNA from 1 species